UACGUAGGGGGCAAGCGUUAUCCGGAAUCAUUGGGUUUAAAGGGUCCGUGGGCGGGUUUAUAAGUCAGUGGUGAAAGUCUGCAGCUUAACUGUAGAACUGCCAUUGAUACUGUAGAUCUUGAAUUAUUAUGAAGUGGUUAGAAUAUGUAGUGUAGCGGUGAAAUGCAUAGAUAUUACAUAGAAUACCGAUUACGAAGGCAGAUCACUAAUAAUUCACUGACGCUGAGGGACGAAAGCGUAGGUAGCGAACAGG
rnacentral:misc_RNA from 1 species